AACGAACGCUGGCGGUAUGCUUAACACAUGCAAGUCGAACGAACAAAAUUGGUGCUUGCUCCAAUUUUAGUGAGUGGCAAACGGGUGAGUAACACGUGGGAAUCUACCUAUCAGUACGGAAUAACAUUUGGAAACAGAUGCUAAUACCGUAUAUUCUCCAAGGAGGAAAGAUUUAUCGCUGAUAGAUGAGCCCGCGUAAGAUUAGGUAGUUGGUAGGGUAAUGGCCUACCAAGCCGACGAUCUUUAGCUGGUCUGAGAGGAUGAUCAGCCACACUGGGACUGAGACACGGCCCAGACUCCUACGGGAGGCAGCAGUGGGGAAUAUUGGACAAUGGGCGAAAGCCUGAUCCAGCAAUACCGCGUGAAUGAUGAAGGCCUUAGGGUUGUAAAGUUCUUUUAGUUGGAAAGAUAAUGACGGUACCAACAGAAAAAGCCCCGGCUAACUCCGUGCCAGCAGCCGCCGUAA
rnacentral:rRNA from 1 species